CCGCAGAAUAGCUGUUGACAUUAUAGUUGCGCAGGAACUUUGUUGACUCUAGAGAACCUCGGACAAAUCGCACAUCGCUGUGGCAGCGACUUUGCAUGCGGAUGUCAUCCAUAUCAACUUUCAAUGCCAGUUUAUGCGCCUACCAUGGUGACCACGAGUAACGGGGAAUCAGGGUUCCUUUCCGUACAGGAACCCUGCGAAACGGCUACCACAUGCAAGGAAGGCAGCAGGCGCGCAAAUGACCCACUCCCGACGUGGGAAGGUAGUGACGG